GAAAUGCGAUAAGUAAUGUGAAUUGCAGAAUUCAGUGAAUCAUCGAAUCUUUGAACGCACAUUGCGCCCUCUGGUAUUCCGGGGGGCAUGCCUGUUCGAGCGUCAUUACAACCCUCAAGCCUAGCUUGGUAUUGGGUGCCGUCCCCCGGGGCGCACCUCGAAAUUAGCGGCGGUGCGGCCGGUGAUCAAGCGUAGUAACUACUUCCGCUUCGAAACACCCGGGCGUGCCAGCCGGACAACCCCCAAUUUUUCUAUGGUUGACCUCGGAUCAGGUAGGGAUACCCGCUGAACUUAA
rnacentral:misc_RNA from 1 species